UGCGUAGGCGGCGCGGUAAGUCGGGUGUGAAAUCUCGGAGCUUAACUCCGAAACUGCAUUCGAUACUGCCGUGCUUGAGGACUGGAGAGGAGACUGGAAUUUACGGUGUAGCGGUGAAAUGCGUAGAUAUCGUAAGGAAGACCAGUGGCGAAGGCGGGUCUCUGGACAGUUCCUGACGCUGAGGCACGAAGGGUCAGGGAAGGCAAACG
rnacentral:rRNA from 1 species